CUCUCACCAAGCAAGUGCAGUGGGGCUUGCUGGCUUGCACCGUGACUCACUCUCACCAAGCAAGUGCAGUGGGGCUUGCUGGCUUGCACUGUGAAGAU
ensembl:miRNA